CCCCGUGUGGCUCAGUUGGUAGAGCAUGGUGUUUGCAACGCCAGGGUUGUGGGUUCAAAUCCCACGGGGG
rnacentral:tRNA from 1 species